UAUCGAGAAAUUCUGCUCAUGGAAGUCAUGGACUACUACUUCAUAGUUUGCAGAUUGGUGUAAUGAUGAUGAAUUUGACCAAUUUUGUUCUUCACUUCACUUGGAGGCUCAAAAGGUUACCAUCAUUACUCCCUUUUUUUUCUUAGCAGCUUCUUUCUUUUCCUCUCUCUGAUCAUGUUGUGAUGAUGGUGUUCUUUGUUGUGUCAGGUUUGUAAUACUUUUUAUUUUUUAAAUAAAAAUUAUUUUCUUGUUCAUCAUCAUUAGCUCUAUGAUCUAUAGAUCUUGCCCACAACUAUUUAUUAAAAAAAAAUUUUUUAAUUUCAAUUUUUAAUUUUCUAGCAUCGGAUCUGUCUGUUUCUGCCAUGUUUUUUCUCAGAUCUGGUCGCCUUUAAAUCUCAGUUAAACAUUCUCUCCUCUUUUUCAUUUUUAAAAAAAAAAAGAAAAAGAAAAAAGAGUAAUUUUCAUUUUACCUUUUCUCUCUCUCUUUACCUAUUCUUUUUUAUCUUUCUUUAUUAGGGUUUUCUACUUUUCUGGCCUAUAUUGUUUUUUGUCUCUAAUAUCGUCAGUUUUUGUAAGGUAUGGUCAUGAGUCUUAAAUAAUCAUUUAGUUAUGAUUUAUGAAUUUGAAUCAAAGUGGAUGAGACCCUUUUCUUAAUAGUCUUGUCUUCAAAUAUUGUCAAUACUAUGUGAUAAAAUCAAUGCAUACUUUUGAUCGUUAUGAUAAUAAUUAAUUUGUAAAAAAAAAAUAAAUAGCCUGCAGGGACUAUAUAGGAGUAGUAGUAUCAUAUAUCGAAAAUCAAUAUCAAAUAUUGCUUCUUAAUCUCUCUAAAAAUUUAAGGCUUGUGAUUUAUUGGAUCCAUCAAUCAGAAUGACAAAUUCAUAUUACUAAACAUAGCACUUAACUUGAUGAUAUUUUCGGUAACCUCAUAGAUCUAUACUUUUCCCUGCUUUUCUUGUCCACAUGAAUUAAUUAUCAUAUACUGAAUUAAUAUUGUUAGAUCUGAAUUGAUAUUUUCAAUUAUUGAUAUGUUUUAUUGUGGGUUUACCUUUUGUUUUUUCAUGAAAAAAAAAACAUUUUUUCUUGAAAUUUCCUUAGGUUUAUUUAAAAUCUCAUUUUUUAUAUCUAAGAGCCUAAUUUUGUACAUAUUAAUUUAAAGAAUAAAUAUAUACAAGAUUCUUUGUUUUCCUUCUGUUUAAAUUUAUUUCAAUAUUCAUUAAGCUCGUAUAAGAGAAUAAACCGAAAAUAAGUGUCCUUCAAUAAUUCAUAUAUCUCUUAAAACAACACAUUAUUAUAUUCUAAAUGAAAUAAUAAUAUGCUUCCUUACAUGCAUUGUGUACAAAAAUAUUGGCAAGUAAGCCUUUUAUUUGUAUUAGUACAUGGAAUAAUAUAUAAUUUUAUUUUUAUGAAGAGAAUCAAUAAUUGAUUUUAGAAUGAAUUAUUAUUGUAUAUUGUAGUGUCUCCUUUAUUAGAAGAGACAACACUCUCAUAAAUAAUAAGUUUGAUUUCAGAAGACGGUCAAUAUAACUAGAAGACAGGGGAACAACAAUAACAUAAAUACACGGAUUUGGAUGCUCUAAAUUUUGAAUUUUAUUUUAGAGAUUAAAAUGUAAUCUCUCACUAUUUAUUUUAUCAGUGGGACCAAGAGUAAAUAUAAGAGAGAAAUUAUUCAAAAGUAAAAGAUAAUACUUUAUUUUUUAAAAUACAAAUUUAAAAUUUAGAAGAUCCAAAUUCUAAACACAAUGCUCAUUAUUAUAUUCACCACUGUAUUUUUGUUUUCUUUUAUCAAUUGUAUUUACCAUUGUGCCAUUCACAGACUAAUAUUUUACAUGUGGAAUUCAUAAUCUUCACAUUGAAAGAAAAAUAAUUUAAAAA